GUCUCCGUCGCGCAGUGGAUCGAGCGUCAGCCUCCGAAGCUGAAGGUCGCAGGUUCGAAUCCUGCCGGGGACA
rnacentral:tRNA from 1 species